GCUGCGGUAGCUCAGUGGUAGAGCGGAGGAUUGCAGUUUAAAUUAUCAAAAAUCCUCAGGUCCUGUGUUCAAUCCACAGUCGCAGCU
rnacentral:tRNA from 1 species